GCGUCUCUCCAAGUCGACACUUUUCCUGAUCCCACUCUUUGGAAUUCACUACAUCAUCUUCAACUUCCUGCCAGACAAUGCUGGCCUGGGCAUCCGCCUCCCCCUGGAGCUGGGACUGGGUUCCUUCCAGGUGAGGACUGAGAUCUCACGGAAGUGGCAUGGCCAUGACCCUGAGCUUCUGCCAGCCUGGAGGACCCGUGCUAAGUGGACCACGCCUUCCCGCUCGGCGGCAAAGGUGCUGACAUCUAUGUGCUAGGCUGCCUUAUCACGCCACUGGAGUCCACACUUGAAUUUGGGCAGCUACCACGGGUCUGCCAUGCUCUGGAGGAGCAAGGGGGCCACAUCCCCACCCCAGCUGUUACCCAGCCCGGGGCAGGUGCAGCCCUUCCUCCCUGUCUCUGCAUCUGACUCUCUUUUGAGGUCCCUGUAUGUCUACCUCUGACUUCUGUGGUCCCUCUGUGUCUGCUCUCAUCUAUUCCUCUUCCUGGGGCCUGGGGCUCUAGCCCAAGGCUCAGAGGAGCCAAUAAACCUGUAAAUGAAUAG
rnacentral:sRNA from 1 species